AUUGAACGCUGGCGGCAGGCUUAACACAUGCAAGUCGAACGAGUGGCGGACGGGUGAGUAAUGCUUGGGAAUCUAGCUUAUGGAGGGGGAUAACUCCGGGCAACUGUAGCUAAUACCGCGUCCCAUACGAUGAGCCCAAGUGGGAUUAGGUAGUUGGUGCGGUAAAGGCGCACCAAGCCGACGACCGCUAGCUGGGCUGAGAGGAUGACCAGCCACACUGGGACGGAGACACGGCCCAGACUCCUACGGUAGGCAGCAGGGGGGAAUAUUGCGCAAGGGGGGAAAACGGACGCAGCCAUGCCGCGUGAAUGAAGAAGGACUUCGGGUGGUAAAGUUCUUUCGGUAGCGAGGCGUUAACUACAGAAGAAGCACCGGCUAACUCCGUGCCAGCAGCCGCGGUAAUUC
rnacentral:rRNA from 1 species